AAGUGAUACAGGUAAGAAUAGCUCUCAGGUAGGGGCCAGUGGGAGAGGGUUCGCGGGACACUUGGGUUAUGCCUGCUGCUUGGAGGGUGGGGCGGGUGAGUCUGCAAUUGAAAAACAGAAAGAAAUUGGUGUAAAGAUGUUCGUCGCCUAUUUUCCUAAGGAGGGGGAGCAGGUAUGAGAUGCCCGAAUGUUGGCAUCUGUGCUCGCAUUGUGUUGAAGGGUCUCAGUCUGGAGCAGAGGGACGGUCUGGGCACCUGGAGGAAAAACCAGGGUGAUGCUCUGUGACCUGCUAUCACCUCGGGGAAGCGGGGGAAACGGGAGGGCCACUCCUUCUAACUCCUCGAUUCCCCGCGGUGUGUUUCUACAGACUUGGUGGCGGAGAGCACCGACUGCCGCCAGGAUGAGGAGGCUGCAGACUCCACUGGGACACCUUAAAGCCUCAGCCUGGGACUGGAAGAGUCCAAACGUUUCCAUCUUGACCAGGAAACAAGAUCGACCUCACUCUUCAUCUAUUACGAGCCAACUUUAGUAUAAGUUUGGUUCUUUAUUGUCUAGAUUUAGUAUUAAGUUCUGAUACAUGUUUACUACUUGGCAUUUAAGAUUUUGGUAGAAUGUAAGAUUUGUGUAUUAAGUAAUCGUUAUCUAUCUAUUUGCUUUUAAACUAGUUUUUGAUAAGAUAAACACAUGUAUAGGAGAGCCCCUUAAGCAGAGGUAGAACUUAAUGUACUGGCGUCAGGCAGUCACCCUGGUGUCCACCACCAGGAUCACCCCCUGUCCUGUCACCCGCAUCAGUCCUGUCUGAAGAAGGGGACUGUGGAUUUAGUCCUGACCAUCUGCCCUCAGGCCAGUUACUUUCCAAGGAUUCUGUGGCCUCACGUCGGUUUGUACCUUUGACCAUGGGACCUCUGUCACACUCCCUCUUUCAGGAUGACGUGGAUGGCCGGGCCUUGCAUGCCCAGACCCUGGCUGCUGGAACAUCCCUAACUCACCCUCUCUCCUCGUGUCUCUAACAUGUUUCUUUACAUCCCGUGCCUCGAGACGGUAUUUUUAAACCAUAUAGAGUGACACCGAAUGGGGCACAGAUAAAACUAUAAAAGCAAUUUUAAUAAAGUACACUUUGAUUGCA
rnacentral:lncRNA from 1 species